AUACGGAGGGUCCAAGCGUUAUCCGGAUUUAUUGGGUUUAAAGGGUCCGUAGGCGGAAAAAUAAGUCAGUGGUGAAAUCCUGCAGCUCAACUGCAGAACUGCCAUUGAUACUGUUUUUCUUGAGUAUAGAUGAAGUGGGCGGAAUGUAUCAUGUAGCGGUGAAAUGCAUAGAUAUGACACGGAACACCAAUUGCGAAGGCAGCUCACUAAACUAUUACUGACGCUGAUGGACGAAAGCGUGGGGAGCAAACAGGAUUAGAAACCCGAGUAGUCC
rnacentral:rRNA from 1 species